GGAAAGAAAAAUAUGAGUGUUCUCUUUUGUGCGAGACAAACAGCCGAGCGCGGGGAGGUCGGGGCCGGGGUCACGCGGCUCCGGGCUGCAGCUGCCGCCGUGGGGCGGGCGGGGGUCCCCGGCGGCCCCCCGGGCGUCGCGGCCGGCGGCGGCGGCGGCGGCGGCAGCCUCGGCAGGCAUUCCGGCGGCGCGGGCGGCCGCUGUCCUCGCGCGACCCCGACCCGUCCAGAGCGCGCCCCGGGCGACCCUCGAGGAGGAGCGAGGGGAACGAGUGCGGUCCGGGCGCCCGAGCAAGUGACCUGAGGUUCUGCAUCAUCAAGAGGAAUACCGCAGGAGUGCCCGGUGCCGUAUCAGGGAGCCCUCGACGUCACCGUGUCCUACUUCUUGUGACGGGAACUUUCAUCACUUUGUAAACAUGGUGUCUGUCAGAAGUAGCUCCAGAAUUUAAAUGUACAUAUCACAGUCUACCGUCAAAUGCUGUACCACUUCACAUAUAAUGAUCUGAAACCAUCCGUGGGGCUCUUGGACGCACGCGUCUACACGGGGCUUUCCAGGGUGGCGUCUUCGCCGCGCACAGAAAUCCUGUUCCCUGGAGCCCUUUGCCGCGUUCCGCCGGGCCUCCCCCACCCACACUGCGCCCACCCCCGCUAAUGGGCAUGUUUCCGUGAACACUGAAGACGAAAAACAUGCGAUUUUGAAUGUGUCUCUUUCAUGGUCACACAUUUCUUUUCAUUGUGCGCCUUGGCUGAGCCACGCUUCCAAUUCCCAGGGACCCUCCUGGGCUCCGCUUGCAGAGCAUUGUUGCACUUCGACAGCCCCUCCCCCGAGAGCCAGAGGUCGCUGGACCCUGGAUUGUGUAGGGUGUCUCUGAAAGCACUCUCAAUAAAAAGCUCCGGGUCUUUGCCUCUGGUUUCCCUGUGCUGUUGGGGCUCUGAUCUGGCUGAUCCAAGAUUCGUUCCGCGGCCCUGCACACCCGGGUACUUCUUGAGACGCACCGGCUUCCAGAACUUUGCACAACACCGCGACCGCAAGCACUCCGGCUGAGGCCGUUUCCGGUUGCCUUCCUACAGGCCAGUCAUUUCCUGGCCCGGAGGCAUCUCC
ensembl:lncRNA